rnacentral:rRNA from 1 species
UGCCCGCCAGGGAACUACAAGCACCAGCUUCAAACCCAAAGGACUUGGCGGUGCUUAAGAUCCACCUAGAGGAGCCUGUUCUAGAACCGAUAACCCCCGUUAAACCUCACCCUCUCUUGUUUAUCCCGCCUAUAUACCGCCGUCGUCAGCUUACCCUGUGAAGGACUAAUAGUAAGCAAAAUCAGCACAGCCCAAAACGUCAGGUCGAGGUGUAGCAUAUGAGAGGGGAAGAAAUGGGCUACAUUCCCUGCCCCAGGGAAAACGAAUAGUGGGUUGAAACACCCCCUAGAAGGAGGAUUUAGCAGUAAGCGGGGAAUAGAGAGCCCCCCUGAAACCGGCCCUAAAGCGCGCACACACC